rnacentral:snoRNA from 1 species
ACCCGCCAGGUUCCUUGCCCAUCAGAUUUAACCACGGAUGUCAGCGGCUGCAAAAGGAGAAAAAGUUAAAUUGAAACUGACUAAAAUUCUUUUGUCACACAUGAGUUAGUUUCAAGCAAAA